UACGUAGGGUGCAAGCGUUAAUCGGAAUUACUGGGCGUAAAGCGUGCGCAGGCGGUUUUGUAAGUCUGUCGUGAAAGCCCCGGGGCUCAACCUGGGAAUUGCGAUGGAGACUGCAAGGCUUGAAUCUGGCAGAGGGGGGGUAGAAUUCCACGUGUAGCAGUGAAAUGCGUAGAGAUGUGGAGGAACACCGAUGGCGAAGGCAGCCCCCCUGGGUCAAGAUUGACGCUCAUGCACGAAAGCGUGGGGGAGCAAACAGG
rnacentral:rRNA from 1 species